rnacentral:rRNA from 1 species
AGUGGCAGACGGGUGAGUAACAUGUAGGUAUCUACCCUUUGGCCUGGAAUAACACGAGGAAACUUGUGCUAAUACUGGAUAAGUCUUUACGGAGAAAGCUUUAUGCACCAUUGGAUGAGCCUACACUUGAUUAGUUUGUUGGUGGGGUAAUGGCCUACCAAGACUUUGAUCAAUAGCUGAUUUGAGAGGAUGAUCAGCCACAUUGGGACUGAGACACGGCCCAAACUCCUACGGGAGGCAGCAGUGGGGAAUCUUGCACAAUGGAGGAAACUCUGAUGCAGCGAUGCCGCGUGAGUGAAGAAGGCCUUUGGGUUGUAAAGCUCUUUCGUCGGGGAAGAAAAUGACUGUACCCGAAUAAGAAGGUCCGGCUAACUUCGUGCCAGCAGCCGCGGUAAUACGAAGGGACCUAGCGUAGUUCGGAAUUACUGGGCUUAAAGAGUCCGUAGGUGGUUGAAAAAGUUGGUGGUGAAAUCCCAGAGCUUAACUCUGGAACUGCCAUCAAAACUUUUCAGCUAGAGUUUGAUAGAGGAAAGCAGAAUUUCUAGUGUAGAGGUGAAAUUCGUAGAUAUUAGAAAGAAUACCAAUUGCGAAGGCAGCUUUCUGGAUCAUUACUGACACUGAGGAACGAAAGCAUGGGUAGCGAAGAGGAUUAGAUACCCUCGUAGUCCAUGCCGUAAACGAUGUGUGUUAGACGUUGGAAAUUUAUUUUCAGUGUCGCAGCGAAAGCGAUAAACACACCGCCUGGGGAGUAC